GAGUGUGUGGAGAGCUGCAAGGAGCCAGCCAAGAGGUCACCAGGCCCCUCUGCCGCUUUGGCAAUCUCCACCUACGUCUGGCUCCCACGUUGUUACCUGACCCCCUUCCGGUGCCUGCAGUUCACUCAGGCAGAAGUGGAUCCCAACAUGCAAGGGAAACGUUUCUCAUCUGUGCUUGCUUCUAGAUGAGGGCGGUGGCAACGGUUAUCCAGCUUCUCGGCUGGACGUUGGUUUGGAGCCCUUGCGGCACCCUGGAGAUCCUCUCAAGGUCGACGGCUUCCCGACUUCUUGGUCUAUUCCUG